rnacentral:rRNA from 1 species
GUUCUUCCGAUCAUGAUGAUGAUUACUGGCCGGGCCAGCUGUCCGAAACGCUCCCCCCGUCUUCUCUCUUCUCUUGCCCGGCACGCUCUCCAACCCAAAGCCAGACCGUUCCUCCUCUCCUCCCACCCCCCAACCGCUAACCCUACCCGCCGGCGGCGCGGCGGAGACCCGACUCCGGGAGGGCGCCCGAUCCCCCGCGAGCCAUGCCGCACGCGCGCUCCGAUCUGGCCUUGGAUGAUUCGCCAGCAGAGUCGUCGAGCUUCCGCAGCCCCAGCUCUUUCCCCAGAACGAAGCGUACAAAGUGGUCUGACAGGGAACCGCUUGAUUGUUCCACGUCGGCCUGCGGUGGUGCACGCGUGAAGAUGCUUGACCGGUGUUCGGAGAGGCGUCAGAUUGCUUCCUGUAGCGGCGACCAACCGCAGAGCUCAGGCAUGUUUGUUGCCACGCAGGGGAAUGCUUGUCCCGUCAAUAACGGUGGUGGGAUCUAUUCGCAGUCUGGCAUGAGCUAUUCAAAUGGUCAAAAUGGGACAUACGGUGCAUAUCCACAACAUCAGCCCUUUGAAGGCUGUAUGUAUGUGAAUGAGCAUGGCCAGAUGUGUGGGCCUUACGCACCCAAGCAGCUCUAUGAGGGGCUAUCCAGUAGUUUCUUGCCUCAAGAUCUUGCUAUUUAUGCUCUUGUUGGUGGGCAAAUGCUCAAUCCUGUAGCCUUGAGUUCUCUGGAGCAGUUCCUUUCACAAUGGAAUUCUGCCGGCGCGGUCACCACGCCGAAUGAAUCGAAGGAGAAUAAGACAGUGGCUCGUACUGAUAAAAUGGCGUUUCCAGAUGCUCUCUCAAGCGAUGAGUCAUGCUGGAUGUUCGAGGACAGCGAUGGCAGCCGUCAUGGGCCACAUUCUCUUGCUGAACUUUCUUAUUGGCUUCAUAGCAGCUAUCUCCAGGAUCUUUCUAUGGUUUACCAUGUUGAUAGCAAAUUUGGUCCAUUUACACUUGUCUCAUUAAUUGAUUGGUGGAGUGGAGGUCACACAGAGCAUUCAGAAGCCUCAGAAAAUGAUUCUGGGUCAGCCAGUGACGUGUUGGGUGACAUAGUCGAUGAUAUUAGUCAUCAGCUCCAUGCCGGUAUAGUGAAAUCAGCCCGCAAGAUUUUUGUUGAUGAAAUUUUCAGCUGUGUGCUUCCAGAAAUUAUCGCCUGUAGGAAGACUGAGAAGCAACUAGCUGCAAAAUCGAAACUCCUAGCUGUUAAGCCUGACAGCAAGAAGGCUUCAGCAUUAAAGGGCAAGGCUCAUGCAAAAUUUACUAAUCACAAAAAAGGAAGCUCAUAUAAUACAGUACGAGCAACUUCUCCCGUGGCUGUUCAGUCAACUGCGGUGCAUACCAAAUUUGCUGAUGUAUUAUCAGCAGUUUGGCAAACUCUUUAUUACGAAUCCAUGAAGAAUAUCUGGGAUGGGAUACUGUAUGAUCCUGUUAUGGACUACUGUGGUGCAUGGAUUAAGAGAAAUCACCAUUCGAGUCUUCCUUGUACGAGUAUUCCUGGUUCGUCUGAUAACAGAAACAAGCAAGAAGCUGAUGGAUUGAAGGUAAUAUGUGAUUCAGAAGCUCUUGAGUGCGACAUGGAUUUCCCACCUGGAUUUGGGCCGACAUUGGAGUGUGCAAGCCCCGUCUCUCCGCCGUUGUUAGACAUUGGUUCUUGCGAUGACAAAAAUAGUUGGUGGCGUGAAUCAAAUUCCACCACAUAUUUUGACACCUCAUCAGGAGUCCAGGUAAUGCUGGCGAAUGAACUAUACGUGGCAGCAAAGGAAACUUUGUUUCACCAUUUCAGGGAGGUUAUUGCAGAGGAGAUAACAAACUGGUUGGGCUUUGGACUUGAAGACAUCACUGAUCAAGAACUAAUUCGUACUCCUGUUCAUGCACCGGACUCGCCUAGUUCUGCUGGAAUGGACAUUCAUGAAACACCCCCCAUUCCUCCUGAAAUGGCUCAAGAUAAAUUAUUGGAUAUUGCUAAAAUGACUACAGAUGCAAUAACCAGUCCGGCUGAAAUGGCUCUAGAUGCAAUAACCAGUCCGGCUGAAAUGGCUCUAGAUGCAAUAACCAGCACGGCUGAAAUGGCUCUAGAUGCAAUAACCAGUCCGGCUGAAAUGGCUGUGGAUGAAGUGUUGGUUACCGCUGAAAUAGCUACUGUACCCAGUCCUGCUGACAUGGUGGCAGGCGCAACAUCAUUUGUAUCUGAUGUGGCAACGGAUAAAAUGCUCACUUCUCAUGUGGAGCAUCAAUCCCCUUCUUCAUCUUAUGCUAGUAUAUUUGAAAAGCUGGAUGUAUCCGAGGCAGCUGAAUUGGAUGAGAGUUUUGAUGAGGUGCCUCCUGGUAUGGAGACUGGCUCAGCUUCUGUGCUGGUCAUGGACAAAAACAAAUACCAACCUUCAAAAUCAAUCAACUCUAUGCCCGGAAUUUCUAGAUACAUCACCGUGGCUAUCUGCAGGCAGACACUGCAUACGAAUGUUAUAGAAGAGUGGGCAUCUCUCCUGUCAGAUACUAUCAGCGAGUGCCUUGAUUCAUGGUAUACCAAGCAGACUGUUGUGCCUAAAAACAUCGACGAAUCAUUGAGACCUAAUAAAGAAUAUGCGUACUACAGAAAGAGAAAGUUAAGGAACAGCUGUGAAGCAGUGUCAUCCAAAAAAGCAGUGAGAACUCCAACGGAUGAGCAGCUUUCCAAGCCUCUACGUGAGCUUGUUGAGCGCAAGGUUCAUCUUAAAAAUGUCCAGGAACCAAGGAAGGUCGGGAAGUCGAAAAAGUCCUCCAAGAGUCGUACCAAAACUCUUGAUAAUGUUGUAAACACUUUGAAUAUCGAACAAGGCUUGAAGCGGCUUUCCAAUGAUGUGCCAAAGACCUCCAAGAGUCGUACCAAAACACUUGAUAAUGCUGUAAACCCUUUGAAUAUCGAACAAGGCUUGAAGCGGCUUCCCAAUGAUGUACCAAAGGCCUCCAAGAGUCGUACCAAAACUCUUGAUAACGCUGUAAACCCUUUGAAUAUCAAACAAGGCAUGAAGCGGCUUUCCAAUGGUGUGCCAAAGGCCUCCAAGAGUCAUACCAAAACUCUUGAUAAUGCUGUAAACCCUUUGAAUAUUGAACAAGGCUUGGAGCGGCUUUCCAGUGAUGUGCCAAAGACCUCCAAGAGUCGUACCAAAACUCUUGAUAAUGUUGUAAACCCUUUGAAUAUCGAACAGGACUUGAAGCGGCUUUCCAAUGAUGUGCCAAAGAGACAAAGGACUUCUCAUCUUACUAGGAUGCCUCUGGUUGAUAAUGAGGUUCCUUUUGAGAACGUUAGUGUGCCCACAAAGCUUGCAAAGAAAAGAAAGAAUAAGAACAUGUCUACUGACUCCAGUCAGAAGGCAAAGCCAUUGAUUUUGUGUCCAGAGUCAGAUGGCUGUGCAAGAGCUUCCUCCAAUGGGUGGGAGUGGCGUAAUUGGGCACGCACCGCCACUCCAUCAGAAAGGACUCGUGUGAGAGGGUACCGCGUUCGGAGUAUUCUUUCAACUUCAGCUAAUAAUGUGUGGAAAAACCCGCAAGUUAAAGGUACAUCUGCGCGAACAAAUCGCGUUAAGUUACGAAACCUGUUAGCUGCUUCUGAAGGCACCGAGCUACUGAAAAUUACCCAAUCGAAGGCAAGGAAGAAGCGGUUACGUUUUCAAAGGAGCAAGAUCCAUGAAUGGGGUCUGGUGGCCCUUGAGUCAAUUGAUGCAGAAGAUUUCGUUAUUGAAUAUGUUGGUGAACUGAUUCGCCGGCCGGUCUCAGACAUACGUGAGGCUCAAUAUGAGAAGAGUGGAAUUGGAAGCAGUUACCUUUUUCGCUUGGACGAUGAUUAUGUGGUUGAUGCUACAAAGCGUGGCGGUUUAGCAAGAUUUAUCAACCAUUCGUGUGAGCCGAAUUGUUAUACAAAAAUAAUUACUGUUGAGGGCCACAAGAAGAUUUUCAUUUACUCAAAGAGGCGCAUAUAUGCUGGCGAAGAAUUGACGUACAAUUACAAAUUUCCAUUGGAGGAAAAGAAGAUACCAUGCCACUGUGGUUCCCAAAGGUGCCGUGGAUCAAUGAACUAAAAAGUCAAGCUUAUUACUGAGGAUUUUACACUAAAGUACAGGAUGGUGGAACAUGCUGUUUUGGGGAGAUUACAGUUUCUUACCCUGUGAUGAAGAACUACACUAUUUUAGGCUAGAUGAGCUGCUAAUUCAGGCUAUCCAGAGUAAGGCACAGGCGCUGACUAUUGGUUGCCAGCUCGCCACUGCCUCGUGGAAGACUGCAACUGAGCUUUCUCCCUCUGGUCUGCUGAGAGUGAAGAGGAGGACAAGUGAGUUCAGCGUGGGCGGAGCUAGUGGAUGGUUGGUUACUUGCUGACAAGGUUAAUACUAAUGUUCUUGCUCAUAUUUGGAUAGAAUUGGAAAACCCACAAUCUUGUACAUUGCCAAACAGCCCAACACUAUGAUUAAUUACAUUUGACCGAUUGAAAGAUAUAGAGAUUACAUUGUGGUUAUUGGACGAGAGGUAAAUCUAACUAGUAGCCUGUAAAAGAUGAAACACAGAAAGGCAAGC